AACUGAGCAGGAGAUGGUCAAAAAGUAGAUUGUCGUCUGUUGCAGAACUACACAUCUCGUGAUGGCUAGCAAAGCAUCAUUCAUUGUUAAAGGGACACUAUAGGCACCCAGACCACUUCAGCUCAUUGAAGUGGUCUGGUCUGUGCACAGUGUUCCUGUCCUCCUUAUUAUUGCAAUUUAAAACAUUGCAGUUACAGAGAAACUGCAAUGAUUACUUUGCAGGACUAUGACUGCUUAUAGUGACUGUAUAUCAACAGCCACUAGAGCCACUUGCAAGAUUCUAACAGACUCUGAGUCCCUUGAUUGGGACAUACUGAACAUCCAGCAUUAGUUAAAC